rnacentral:rRNA from 1 species
GUGUCAGCCGCCGCGGUAAUACGGAGGGGGCUAGCGUUGUUCGGAAUUACUGGGCGUAAAGCGCACGUAGGCGGACCAGAAAGUUGGGGGUGAAAUCCCGGGGCUCAACCCCGGAACUGCCUCCAAAACUACUGGUCUGGAGUUCGAGAGAGGUGAGUGGAAUUCCGAGUGUAGAGGUGAAAUUCGUAGAUAUUCGGAGGAACACCAGUGGCGAAGGCGGCUCACUGGCUCGAUACUGACGCUGAGGUGCGAAAGCGUGGGGAGCAAACAGGAUUAGAAACCCCAGUAGUCC